AUACGUAGGGAGCGAGCGUUAUCCGGAUUUAUUGGGUGUAAAGGGUGCGUAGACGGGAAGUCAAGUUAGUUGUGAAAUCCCUCGGCUUAACUGAGGAACUGCAACUAAAACUGAUUUCUUGAGUACUGGAGAGGAAAGUGGAAUUCCUAGUGUAGCGGUGAAAUGCGUAGAUAUUAGGAGGAACACCGGUGGCGAAGGCGACUUUCUGGACAGAAACUGACGUUGAGGCACGAAAGUGUGGGGAGC
rnacentral:rRNA from 1 species